GAGUUUGAUCCUGGCUCAGAUUGAACGCUGGCGGCAUGCCUUACACAUGCAAGUCGAACGGCAGCGCGGGGCAACCUGGCGGCGAGUGGCGAACGGGUGAGUAAUAUAUCGGAACGUGCCCUGGAGUGGGGGAUAACGCAGCGAAAGUUGCGCUAAUACCGCAUACGAUCUAAGGAUGAAAGCGGGGGAUUCGCAAGAACCUCGUGCUCCUGGAGCGGCCGAUAUCUGAUUAGCUAGUUGGUAGGGUAAAAGCCUACCAAGGCGACGAUCUGUAGCUGGUCUGAGAGGACGACCAGCCACACUGGGACUGAGACACGGCCCAGACUCCUACGGGAGGCAGCAGUGGGGAAUUUUGGACAAUGGGCGCAAGCCUGAUCCAGCCAUGCCGCGUGCGGGAAGAAGGCCUUCGGGUUGUAAACCGCUUUUGUCAGGGAAGAAACGCUCUGGGCUAAUACCCCGGAGUAAUGACGGUACCUGAAGAAUAAGCACCGGCUAACUACGUGCCAGCAGCCGCGGUA
rnacentral:rRNA from 1 species